rnacentral:rRNA from 1 species
AGCCUCAGGAAAAUAUCUGAGGUCAAACCUGCCCAAUGUAAAAAGUAUUAAUGGCCGCGGUACUUUGACCGUGCUAAGGUAGCGUAAUCAGUUGGCUUUUAAUUGGGGUCAGGAAUGAAUGGAAUUUCGUAGUUUUCCUGUCUCUGAUAUAAUUAUUCGAAAUUACUAUGGAGGUGAAAAAGCCUUCAUUAAAAAAAAAGACGAGAAGACCCUUAGAGUUUUACUAAGAAUAAAUAAAAAGAAAUAAUUGGUAAUUACUUCAGUUUGGUUGGGGCAACAUAGGAGAAAACGUUAAACUUGAUAACCUCCCAAAAUAGAGAUAAACCGAUUAUAAUAAAUUUGGAUAAACUACCUUAGGGAUAACAGCAUUAUUUUAAUAAUAAGUUUGUGACCUCGAUGUUGGACUGGGAACCUAAAAGGCUAGCCGUUUUUUAGUGAGGUUCUGUUCGAACUGUAAAUUCCC